rnacentral:rRNA from 1 species
AGUGAACGCUGGCGGUAGGCCUAACACAUGCAAGUCGAACGGCCGCACAGUAAGCUCUUUCUCUUACGGGUGGCGAGUGGCGGACGGGUGAGACGUACAUCACCAUCUACUUUUUCGUGGGUAAUUACGUAAAGCAACUUACGAUAAUACAGCAUACAACCUACGGCUUGAAUCAAGAGUUCUUGACGGCUUUCCCGUUACAAUUAGCUGGUGCCGCGUCGCAUUGACGAGUUGGUAAGGUAACGGCUUACCAAGGCAACGAUGCGUAGCUGAUCUGAGAGGAUGAUCAGCCACACUGGAACUGAGACACGGUCCAGACUCCUACGGGAGGCAGCAGUGGGGAAUAUUGGACAAUGGGCGAAAGCCUGACCCAGCCAUACCGCGUGAGUGAAGAAGGCCUUCGGGUUGUAAAACCCUUUUAUUGGGAAAGAAAAGAAGCAGGAUAAUAUACGGCCGUUCUGACGGUACCCAAAGAAAAAGCACCGGCUAACUUCGUG